AGUGGUCUUGCUCUGCGCACAAAAUACUUUCUUCUUCCUCUUCGCAUCUUCCUCCAUUUCUCCAUCCAACCGCCGAUUUAUCUCUGUAAGGAUGUUGUCCUGGAGUGACACCUCUAGCGGUCCGCCGUCCAUGCCGCCCCGACGGCCAUGCUGCUACACCGCCGCCACGUCCUGCCAGGCCAGCGACUCUGGUGGAUCCAGAGUUCACCGGAUUCGAGAUUGAAGGAGACGUUGGGUGCCACCAUGGGCUCUACGCUGCUAGAAAGGUCUCUUACGAUGGCACCAACAUAGGGAGACGAUUCCUAGCAUGCGGAGAAGAGGAGGAUCGCCAUGACGACUGUGGAUUUAUCCAGUGGGUGGAUCCCGAGUGGCCGCCUAUUCUGAAGAGAGCAAUUAUUCAGCUCCGAGACGAGAUCUCCGAUCAACGGCACGAGCUUGACCUGGAAAAAGAGGAAUAUGAUUACAAGAAACGUGUCCUCGACAUUGAUGCAGCCUUGGUCCAGAGGGAGAGGAAUUCUCUGAACAAGGGACGCGAUAGCCUGACAGCUGCGGAACUGGCUAUGAAGGAGGCCCUUGCUGGGUGCGUUCUCGCAAGGGACGCAGCAGUUAGCAAGACCGAGGCUACGGCAAUGUAUCUAAGGUGCACUAUUGCGCUGUCAUCUGUGCUUGCCAUCCUCCUCGCCUACGUUGCCGCCGUCAGCUAAAUCCUUCAGCGAUGCUCCACGCCCCACCUACUAUGUCCUAUGUUUACGUUAUUAGUUCGCUCGGGUUAAAAAUUUUUUGUAUACAUUGUUAGUUCGUUCGCCAUGCUCAACUCAAUCAGCAGUUCGUUUUGUGAUAGCAUGUUGUGUAUUUGCAUUUAUGUUUAAUGUGAUCCUUUGCCGACUGA